CAGAAGUGGUGAUGGGGAGAAGAGGCGGCUGAGCCUGGAAGUGGAGACUGAGGCAGAACGGGGGGGACAGGUAACCGCUGGCCCCAAAGAGUGCACAGAUGCUCUGAGCGGGGUCGGCUAGUACUAGAGAAAGACAUGCUGUUCUGGUAGCUCCAGCUCUAAACAUCCACAUCAAUUUUGGAGGAUGAAUACAACUGAAGGAAGCCUGGGCGGGUGCUCAGCUGGGGGAGUCAGUCAUGUGACUUUCCUCUGCCCCCCCUCAAGGCAGUGGGCCCCCAGGCAACUGUCUCCCCUUGCCCUAUUGUAGUUAUGCCCCUGUUGCACUGAGGUGUGCACUGCUUCUGAACACACACUCUUCAUCAACAUUUGGUACAUUCCAGGUGGAGCCAGCCCCUCUGGCCAUUGGGAUCUACUCUACAUCCCUACCUCGGAAUGAAAAAAAGGCUUGCCAGUUAGACAGGCAAGGGAUGGCAUCCUGGGCCUCACUAGGAGCUCCAGGCAAGGGGUGUGCCUCUGGCUCAACUCGGCUACUUCCAACAAACCGAGAUAUAUGACCACCUGAAGUACCAAUUUCAGGUUCCCUCCACAUCUGAGGCUGGGGAAAUCCAAGGUUCCUCUCUAAGUUUGAAUCAUCUAUUGUUCUUGAUGAUUAUAAGGAACCUCCAUGUUCAGAGAUAGUAUACAACUUUUUAUUGGGGAGCAACAGCAGGGGAAGGAUGUUGCCUUCAUUCUCGGCUUGUGGAAUUUCUGGAGGCAUUUCGUUGGCCAUGGCAGGAAGCAGAUGGCUGAACUAAUAAUUAAGUGGAUCUCCAUCUAAGCCAGGAGGGCCGUUUUUAUGUUCUUAACUCUAAGCUUGAGGAUCAGCCCUGUCGGUAUGAAAGGAAAAUCUAUAGAGUGAGGCAAACAGCAUAAUGGGAAGAAAAGCCUGAGUUAUCUUAUGAAUCUGUCUGUGGUUUUAGAAUCAAAAGCUGUGAAGCGGCAGCAGAGGGGGGAUUGCAGGGUCAGAGCGGAGCAGAGAGAAUCCGAGUUAGCUGUCAUGCAUUUUGUUUGAUUAACAGUAGCAGCAGUUCAUGAAUCAUGCGUUGGAAUGCAAGAUGGGAAGAAACUCUUCCCUGAACAGUAGCACAUUCACAUGCAUGAAUGACUUUUCAGUUCAUGUUCCAUAAUCUGAAAUAAACUGUGUUUACCGACAAUAGUUUCAUUAGACUCUUUGCUGCCAACCGUUAUAGGAAAGGGGUAGGGAAAGUUUUUGGUUUUUUUAAAUUCUGGAAAGUGUUGGCCACUUGCAUGUUGAUGGAAGAACUAAAACAUCUUUCAGUAGUAUCCAUGCUAAAAGGAGAUCCUUGUUCAGCAUUUUAUUUGCUGAAGAAAUAUACCCUUUGAAACUCAAGUUUGAAUAUUCUAGAAAAUUUUAUAGAGAUGUCUCAGAGACUAGUCUCCAGCAGAAAUAAACCCUCCUGUCAUCCUUUGCCAAGAUUUUAACAUGUGGAAAUAACUAUGCUGUGAUCAACUGAAGAGAAACAAAUACCUUGGCAGCAUGUUCAUAUAUAUGGCCACCCAUCUGCCAAAUUAAGCUGUGGCUCUCUUGGGUUUUUAUGGAGCUAUUAUGGAAACAACACUGGCAGCUAGUUCACCAUUACGAAUUUUCAAGUGGAAACAGACUUUUUUUGAUCAUCGUAAUAGUUGGUUACAGCAACUUAUUUCAUGCUAUCAGUGGCACACCCAGGUCAUUUUGGAGCCCGGACCUGAAGGGCUUUGGAGCCCCCCUACCCCCUCCACAAGGACUCCUCUUAAAACCUGCUGAUGCUCAACAUCGACUCAAUGAAGUAACUAACUCCUUCUGAGAAUCCCUCCUUCCAUCCUCGGGCAAGAUCUAAAAAGAAAAAUAAGAAGAAAAGAAUGGGGCGAGAGAAAAGAGGGAGAGGAAGAAAGCGGCAAAGAGAGAAAGGAGGAGGGCCAUGAGAUCUUCAUGCCCUAGAGAGAUGCACUUGUAAAUCCCAGCUCCACAAAGGAGAAAGAAAGACAAACACUGAGCGUGGGGUGAAGUGGAGAGCAAUGCACCACCAGCAGGGAAAUUUUCUGUCCCCCCACGGCUGCUGCCCAAACCCAGGGAGGAAUGGGGGAGGGCACCCACCAGAGUGGAUUAUGUGGCUGGACUGACGGGCUUCCUGGUCUGAGGAUGCAGCAGAGAGAGAAAGGCAGAAGGUGUGGAUUAAGAGACAACCCAACCGCCCCCUUUCUCCUCUUCCCGCCUAACACCUUACUCAAUGAAGAAGACCCGGCCAUCCCUGCAGAUGCUAUAGGACCAAUGGUGUGUCCUGGCUCGCUGCCUCAGCCACCAUGUUCGCCACGUGCACAGCCAGCCAGCCUGCUGAAUCCUUGAGACCCUGACUCCUGCCUGCUUGAGACCGGGUUCCUGACCCAGACAUCGGGAUGCUUUACCUCACCUUGAGAGUUCCCUUAGUGACAUCGUGGACUUUGGGCUCUGGAUUCUUGGAAUCUGGUGAGCGACCUAGGUACGGGGGAGACAGGGCAAACUUGAUACUGCUAGUGAUUUGUUUCUCUUGUGCUUUGUUUCAGAUGCAGGAGGAUCCCGGAGCUAUCAGCUGCUUCGAUGGUGACCUUGAACCAAGCCACGGACAAACGAGCUCCUGACAGCCUUUUCUAGAAUUUCCCAGGGACUCUGGAAUGCACUUCCUAAUGAAUAAUUUCCUAAUGAAAUUAUUUUAUUAUUUAUUUAUUUAUUUAACAUAUUUUUAAUACAUCCCCAGACUUAUAUCUCCGGGCAGAAAUUAGAGUUUCCCCUUCUCUGAAUGUUUUUAAGACCUAAACACAUACCUGUUUAAUCAGGCUUUUAGUUUAUAGUUUUAAAGCUUUGGUUUUAGAGUUUUUAUUGUAUUUUAAAUUGUUUUAAUUAUGUUAAUGUUGUAUGAUUUUAUAUUGUGAACCACCCAGGUUAUAUGAGGUGGUAUACAUGUACUAAAUAAUAAAUAAAUAAAUAAAUGGCUGUGCAGCAUGAGAGGCAAUGGUCAUAUUCACACAUAAUCGGAAAUCGUGGGUCCAUCAACCACCACCCCAGUACAUGCUUCACAAAUGUUCAAAAUUGCAGUCUCAGAGACUGCAGAGAGGAGGGGGAACUUGCUUUGCAGGUGGGGUAACUGGCUGCAUGGGCUUCCUUCUGGCAUGAAGGAGAGCCCUAGUAGCCAAUGACAGCCAGAGUGAGGGAGGAGCUCAUUGUAACUCCAAUUCUGCCUUUGGAUGUAACACUGCUAAACACAAACCUCAGAUAUGAGUGGUGAAACUCACUACAACCAGAGGAUUCAAAUUGGAGUUUGGGAAUGGAUACCUUGGGUUGCUUUUCUGAUGGACACAUUCAAACGUACAAGAAAUUCAAACUCAGGCUCCUUCACCUCUGGUUUCCCAUUAUGUGUGAAUGCAGCCAAUGUCUUCGAAGAUAAACAAUUACUAUCAUAGACAUACACACCCUUGAUGGGCCUCUAAAAUUACAGAAGGGUCACUUCAUAAUACUCUUUUUUUCAGGUGUAUUCUCCUUUAACCCAUGCUCAGUAAUGGACUUGAGCAUGUAUCUAGACACAGACAGACCCAGCUGUUUCCAAGCAGCUAAGUGGUUCUGUGCUUACAAACCAAGGCUAAAUUUGGUUCAAAUUGAGGUCCACAAGCUUGAUCUCUUACACCUCAAAUAUAUCUUGGAUUGAGUGUAUGACAUCAUUACAAACUACACCACUGAGGUAUCCUGUGUGCCACUCACUACAAGUGUACCAAAUCUAGUCCAAACCAAUUAAGAGGUUCACAAGCUAGCCCACUUGCAUCUCAAAUGUUUAUGCAUCCGCCAUCUUGAAUUGGUGUGGAUGACAUCAUCACAAACUGUGCCAUUGAGGUGUCCCUGUGUAUCACUCUACUGCAACAGUACCCAAUUUGGUUCAAAUGAGUUAGGCAGUCCACAAAUUCACCCACUUGUGCCUCAGAUGUUUAUGUGGCUGCCAUCUUGAAUUGGAGUGGAUGACAUCAUCACACACCAUACCAUUAGGGCAUCCCUAUGUGUCCCUACAGCUGUAGCAAAUCUGGUUCAAAUCAGUUAGGCAGUUCACAAGUUAGCCCACUUGCGCCACAAAAGUUUACAUGUCCGCCAUCUUGGAUUGGGGAGGAUGACAUCAUCACAAUCUAUGCUGUUGAGGUGUCCCUAUGUGUUCCUCCAGCAGUACCUGAUUUGGUUCAUAUUGGUCCAGGCGUUGUGAAGUUGAGAGCAGGGGACAUACUUUUGGACACACACACAGAAUGUCCGGUGAUCUCACAAGCCUACUGCAAAGUAGGCUAAAAUUGAUAAUUCCUGUUAAACCAGACCUGUCUGGAGGUGUUGAAAUUUCUCCCCUUGUUUUUUAAACAUCCAAUAACAUGUUUGUUUGUUUAUAUACCUCCCAAAACAUAUAUCUCUGGGUGAUUUACAAUAAAAAUAAUACAAAUUAAAACAAAAUUAAAACAAAACAAUUUAAAAUUUAACAUAAUGUUAAAAGCUGUUUUAAAAACUGUUUAAAACUGUAAAUCUAAUUAAAAAUCUGGGUGAACAAAUGUGACUUAACUGCCUUUUUUAAAGUUGUCAGAGAUGGGGAGGCUCUUAUUUCGGCAGGGAGUGCAUUCCAAAGCUUUGGGGCAGCAACGGAGAAUGCCUGAACUGUUGAGACCAGUUCAACACAGAAAGAGAUAAGGUUUUCAACACACUGGAAGUAGAGUCUCAGGCCGAAACAGAGAGAAAGCAUUGCCAUGACCUGACCGGUCAAAGAAAUAAUUAAAUCUUUAGAAUUAUCCUCUUUUUAUUUUUCUCAACCACUUAGACUGAAAUUCUAUUAAUUAAAAUUUAAAUGAGGUUACAAUUCCCACUUUGAAUUUUUCAAAAGCUGUUAUGGUAUUUGGUCUCUUUCAAGCCUUGGAAUUUAAAAUGGCAUCUUCCAUUGGGGAUUUUUUUUAAAAAGAUUCUUCUGAUACUAUUCAACUAAAAUUGUUUUAUAUCCCCCCUUUUCAACUGGUUUGUAUGUGAGUUUCAUUAAUAGUCUGACUGGAUGUACAAAUCUGGUAGUACAUUAUAAGUUAUCAGUAAUGCUCAGUAUUCAUUAACCUAUUUAUUUAUAUAGGCUCCUAGAUUGU